CAGUAAAUGGAGUAAAGAACAGAUGGAAGUUCUCAACUGCCACAGGGACUCAUUCAGGGGAAAGAGAUCAUCCCUAAGGUUAAGGCAACAUGAUGGUCAACAGGCCUUGCCACAUGAGGUGAAAAUAUAGAGUCGAAACUGGGACAAUGGGAAUAUGGCAGCAAUUUCCAUUGUGUGCUUAAAGUCUGCUGGUUGUAAAUUACUGUUGUUAAUAACAGGAAAGCAUCAGAUCAGAGAGCAGCUGUCAGAGCUGGUUUUGGCCGCUGACUCUUGAUGGCUACCAUUUUAUUUUCCCAGAAUGUCUCAGAUGUUGUGUAUUUCCAUUAAAUUCUGUUAAUACUGUGGAGCAAGAAUUAGGCCUUUGUCACCUUGAAUUAGGCAAUGGGAUAUUUAUUUAUGUGUGUAGGAGGGAAGGGAAGAAAAAAUUCCUGUUAGUGGCUUUAUGUAUUUAUAUCUACCUUGUAUUAUACUGAGGGCUUUCAAGUUUUAUCAAUGGGAACGGUGGAUCUUUGUAUCUUGGACUUUUCUACAGGCAACUCCUGCACUGGUUCCUUGUUGGAUGCACAGAACUUUGGGGAUUGUGUAUAUGUGUUAUAUUGCAUUGGGAUAUGUUGUAUUG